GCACGUUUGGCCGAGCGGUCUAAGGCGGCAGCUUCAGGUGCUGUUCUCUUCGGAGGCGUGAGUUCGAACCUCACAGCGUGUA